rnacentral:rRNA from 1 species
UACGGAGGGUGCAAACGUUGCUCGGAAUCAUUGGGCGUAAAGCGCACGUAGGCGGACUGUUAAGUCGGACGUGAAAUCCCUCAGCUUAACUGAGGAAGUGCAUUCGAAACUGGCAGUCUUGAGUACGGGAGAGGGUCGCGGAAUUCCCGGUGUAGAGGUGAAAUUCGUAGAUAUCGGGAGGAACACCAGUGGCGAAGGCGGCGGCCUGGACCGAUACUGACGCUGAGGCGCGAAAGCGUGGGGAGCAAACAGG